rnacentral:rRNA from 1 species
CCCUUAGAUGCUCUGGGCUGCACGCGCGCUACACUGAUGCGAUCAACAAGUUUUUCCUAUGUCGAUAGACACGGGUAAUCUUUUGAACUCGCAUCGUGAUGGGGAUAGAUUAUUGUAAUUAUUAAUCUUCAACGAGGAAUUCCUAGUAGGUGCAAAUCAUCAGUUUGCAUCGAUUACGUCCCUGCCCUUUGUACACACCGCCCGUCGCUGCUACCGAUUGGUUGAUCUGGUGAAUUAUUCGGACUGCCGGCUGAAGGGGUUUCCUCAUCUGCCAGCGGAAAGUCUUGUUAACCCUAUCAACUAGAGGAAGCAGAAGUCGUAACA